rnacentral:rRNA from 1 species
UACGGAGGAUCCGAGCGUUAUCCGGAUUUAUUGGGUUUAAAGGGUGCGUAGGCGGCCUAUUAAGUCAGGGGUGAAAGACGGUAGCUUAACUAUCGCAGUGCCUUUGAUACUGAUAGGCUUGAAUGUACUUGAGGUAGGAGGAAUGUGACAAGUAGCGGUGAAAUGCAUAGAUAUGUCACAGAACACCAAUUGCGAAGGCAGCUUACUAAAGUAUGAUUGACGCUGAGGCACGAAAGCGUGGGGAUCAAACAGG